rnacentral:rRNA from 1 species
GACGAACGCUGGCGGCGUGCCUAAUACAUGCAAGUCGAGCGGACCACUUCGGUGGUCAGCGGCGGACGGGUGAGUAACACGUGGGCAACCUGCCUGUAAGACUGGGAUAACACCGGGAAACCGGUGCUAAUACCGGAUAAUCCUUUCCUUCACAUGAAGGGAAGCUGAAAGACGGUUUCGGCUGUCACUUACAGAUGGGCCCGCGGCGCAUUAGCUAGUUGGUGAGGUAACGGCUCACCAAGGCAACGAUGCGUAGCCGACCUGAGAGGGUGAUCGGCCACACUGGGACUGAGACACGGCCCAGACUCCUACGGGAGGCAGCAGUAGGGAAUCUUCCGCAAUGGACGAAAGUCUGACGGAGCAACGCCGCGUGAGCGAUGGAGGCCUUCGGGUCGUAAAGCUCUGUUGUCAGGGAAGAACAAGUACCGGAGUAACUGCCGGUACCUUGACGGUACCUGACCAGAAAGCCACGGCUAACUACGUGCCAGCAGCCGCGGUAAGAC